CCCGCCUCCGGGCCGACUCCCAACGACAUAGUGAUCGGGGGCGACGGAGGCUCGAGGCUGCUGCUGAGUCCCGACCGACUCCGAGCACAAAGAACCAGACUUUGUCUCCUGAACCCCAGCUGGAGAUGAUUCUCAAAGAAGAGGAAAAAGAUAAAAAUGAGUAAUAGAGGCCCCAAAUCACCUCUCUCCCCUGAUCUCUACUCACAGCAUCAACAACACUUGAAAGAAAAGGAAGCAUUAUUGAACUGGGGGUGGGGUCCUGGCUGAAAGGACUCUAACUACACUGCUGUAAGCAUGUGGUAAGAUAAAUCCUUUUGCUUUAAAUUCACUUAGCUGGUGUUUUACCUUUUAUUUCUUUGUAACCAAUUCUGACUUGUAUGCCUCGUUACUUGUAAUCACUUAAAAUCUGUUUGUUUGUAGUUAAUAAACUUGUUUUAUCUA